GCUGAAGCAACAAAUGCCCUGCUUCCAGGAAAAGCCUCUAAGCAUCAGGUAACAUCAAAUCGUACCCCAAACCGACACAGGUGGUCAGGUAGAGAAUACCAAGGCGCUUGAGAGAACUCGGGUGAAGGAACUAGGCAAAAUGGUGCCGUAACUUCGGGAGAAGGCACGCUGAUAUGUAGGUGAAGUCCCUCGCGGAUGGAGCUGAAAUCAGUCGAAGAUACCAGCUGGCUGCAACUGUUUAUUAAAAACACAGCACUGUGCAAACACGAAAGUGGACGUAUACGGUGUGACGCCUGCCCGGUGCCGGAAGGUUAAUUGAUGGGGUCAGCGCAAGCGAAGCUCUUGAUCGAAGCCCCGGUAAACGGCGGCCGUAACUAUAACGGUCCUAAGGUAGCGAAAUUCCUUGUCGGGUAAGUUCCGACCUGCACGAAUGGCGUAAUGAUGGCCAGGCUGUCUCCACCCGAGACUCAGUGAAAUUGAACUCGCUGUGAAGAUGCAGUGUACCCGCGGCAAGACGGAAAGACCCCGUGAACCUUUACUAUAGCUUGACACUGAACAUUGAGCCUUGAUGUGUAGGAUAGGUGGGAGGCUUAGAAGUGUGGACGCCAGUCUGCAUGGAGCCGACCUUGAAAUACCACCCUUUAAUGUUUGAUGUUCUAACGUUGACCCGUAAUCCGGGUUGCGGACAGUGUCUGGUGGGUAGUUUGACUGGGGCGGUCUCCUCCUAAAGAGUAACGGAGGAGCACGAAGGUUGGCUAAUCCUGGUCGGACAUCAGGAGGUUAGUGCAAUGGCAUAAGCCAGCUUGACUGCGAGCGUGACGGCGCGAGCAGGUGCGAAAGCAGGUCAUAGUGAUCCGGUGGUUCUGAAUGGAAGGGCCAUCGCUCAACGGAUAAAAGGUACUCCGGGGAUAACAGGCUGAUACCGCCCAAGAGUUCAUAUCGACGGCGGUGUUUGGCACCUCGAUGUCGGCUCAUCACAUCCUGGGGCUGAAGUAGGUCCCAAGGGUAUGGCUGUUCGCCAUUUAAAGUGGUACGCGAGCUGGGUUUAGAACGUCGUGAGACAGUUCGGUCCCUAUCUGCCGUGGGCGCUGGAGAACUGAGGGGGGCUGCUCCUAGUACGAGAGGACCGGAGUGGACGCAUCACUGGUGUUCGGGUUGUCAUGCCAAUGGCACUGCCCGGUAGCUAAAUGCGGAAGAGAUAAGUGCUGAAAGCAUCUAAGCACGAAACUUGCC
rnacentral:rRNA from 1 species